UUCGCAAUGCCCGAAAGGGUGAACGAGCGACGCCGCGUGCGGGAUGAAGGGUUUCGGCUUGUAAACCGCUUUUCUUUGGGAAGAAGGUCUGUCUCGUGCAGAUGGGCUCGACGGUACCAGAGGAAUAAGCCUCGGCUAACUCCGUGCCAGCAGCCGCGGUAAGACGAACCGUGCGAACGUUAUUCGGAAUCACUGGGCUUAAAGCGCGUGUAGGCGGGCGGGCACGUCCGACGCUGAAAUCCCCCGGCUCAACCGGGGAACCGGCGGGGAUACGACCGGCCUGGAGGGACGUAGGGGGACCUGGAACUUCCGGUGGAGCGGUGAAAUGCGUUGAGAUCGGAAGGAACGCCCGUGGCGAAAGCGAGGUCCUGGACGUCUGCUGACGCUGAGACGCGAAAGCCAGGGGAGCGAACGGGAUUAGAUACCCCGGUAGUCCUGGCUGUAAACGAUGGGCACUAAGUAGAGGGGUUUU
rnacentral:rRNA from 1 species